UAACACAUGCAAGUCGAACGAGCGAGAGAGAGCUUGCUUUCUCGAGCGAGUGGCGAACGGGUGAGUAACGCGUGAGGAACCUGCCUCAAAGAGGGGGACAACAGUUGGAAACGACUGCUAAUACCGCAUAAGCCCACGGUGCCGCAUGGCACAGAGGGAAAAGGAGCAAUCCGCUUUGAGAUGGCCUCGCGUCCGAUUAGCUAGUUGGUGAGGUAACGGCCCACCAAGGCGACGAUCGGUAGCCGGACUGAGAGGUUGAACGGCCACAUUGGGACUGAGACACGGCCCAGACUCCUACGGGAGGCAGCAGUGGGGAAUAUUGCACAAUGGGGGAAACCCUGAUGCAGCGACGCCGCGUGGAGGAAGAAGGUCUUCGGAUUGUAAACUCCUGUUGUUGGGGAAGAUAAUGACGGUACCCAACAAGGAAGUGACGGCUAACUACGUGCCAGCAGCCGCGGUAAAACGUAGGUCACAAGCGUUGUCCGGAAUUACUGGGUGUAAAGGGAGCGCAGGCGGGAAGACAAGUUGGAAGUGAAAUCUAUGGGCUCAACCCAUAAACUGCUUUCAAAACUGUUUUUCUUGAGUAGUGCAGAGGUAGGCGGAAUUCCCGGUGUAGCGGUGGAAUGCGUAGAUAUCGGGAGGAACACCAGUGGCGAAGGCGGCCUACUGGGCACCAACUGACGCUGAGGCUCGAAAGUGUGGGUAGCAAACAGGAUUAGAUACCCUGGUAGUCCACACCGUAAACGAUGAUUACUAGGUGUUGGAGGAUUGACCCCUUCAGUGCCGCAGUUAACACAAUAAGUAAUCCACCUGGGGAGUACGACCGCAAGGUUGCAACUCAAAGGAAUUGA
rnacentral:rRNA from 1 species